GGUGCUGGUAAGUUCUUGCCUCCCCCAAGACAUCAGGUGCCCAGCUAGCCAUCAGGUGAAAUAAAGAACACGGGCAAUCUCUGGAUGAGCUAAGGGCCCACUGCCCACAGUGCCCACCUCCUGCUGUGCUGUAACAAGCAGUACAGCCCAAGAGUGCGGCCAUGAUCAGCUCUCAAAGCAGCUCAAGUUGUGUGGAUGCCAGCUGUACUUCCAGAAACACUUUCCCCCUUGUGGCUGCACAUUUCCCUUCUCUGCUACAGGUUGCUGAACACAGGACAGACAAAUGGCUGCUGUGCCAGACUAUUAUAAGCUUUUAGAGAUUCCCCGGGAUGCCUCUGACAAUGAUAUUAAAAAAGCGUACAGGAAGAAAGCCCUGCAGUGGCACCCGGAUAAAAACCCAGACAGGAAGAAAUAUGCUGAGCAAAAGUUCAAAGAAGUUACAGAAGCUUAUGAAGUCCUGUCGGAUAAAGCCAAGCGGUGAACGUUAUGACUGCUAUGGGAGGGACUCACACAAGC